GAAUUAGGCUCCCAGGUUCCAGAACUUCAAACACAUCAAUAUGUGUCAUUUCUGUUGAAAAAGGCACGGAAUGUUUUGAUCUACAGCAUUGUCCAGGGUCUUGCAAGGUAACCAUUUUACAGGUAUAAGAUAGGGCAGUUUGAGCUGGGCAGCUUUAUGAUCAAGACUAGCAGAAAAUGGAAAGAAAAUCUUUAUCUAGAUGUCACAGAAGGAGUUUAAUAAGUAAAGCAAAUGACUGAUUUGAAAUGUGAAACAUGGAGGGACAAUCACCUACCUUUCCAAGACUUCAAACCCCAGAUGUCACUGAAGUUCAUUCACACUCAAAACAGGAGAGAUGAAUUGGAAAAAGGAAACAAGGAGGAGACAAAAGGGACAGCCAUCAGGGAGCAUGGGAGACAUCAGGACUGUAAUAAAAUGUGUGAUUUAAGCAAAAUUUAUCACGACAAAGUGCUUCCCUGUAGGUAGCAGGGAGAUUUAAAUUCAUUAAUAUUAUUGAUUAGCAACUUAUAGGAGCAGUGGGACUGUUAAGCUCAAUUUUGCCUAUGUCUUAUUUCCAACUAAAUUGGAUUUUAUCUGAUUACUUCUGUAUUACACUAAAAGAUUAUUUUUUUCCUUUUCUAAAAUGUCUGUAGCUGUUUUUUCUAGUCCUGUGCUUUGCUGUAAUGUGAGAAGAAAUAUAGUUCUUGUGAAGGAAAGGGAAAGCCUAGAUUUUCCCAAAU
rnacentral:lncRNA from 1 species